GGAGGACAUGGCUCAGGGGAUAGAGCAACUGCUUGGCCUGCAGAAGGCCCCAGGUUCAAUCCUCGGCACCUCCA
rnacentral:tRNA from 1 species